GUUGGGCAUGGUGGUGCACGCCUUUAGUCCCAGCUUCUUGGGAGGCUGAGGUGGGAGGAUCACUUGAGCCCAGGAGGUUUGAGACUGCAGUGAGCCAUGAUCACACCACUGCACUCCAGCCUGGACAACAGAGUGAGACCUUGUCUCAA
ensembl:misc_RNA Metazoa_SRP Metazoan signal recognition particle RNA